CAGGUAGUGAGAGCUUAAAACAACUUCUCAUUUGCAAAGAUAAAAUGAGACAGAGGUGCAGAAUUCUCAACUUCCUCCUCUUCUUCAUAUUCAUCGUUGUUUUCAUAAGCCCGGUGAAAAUGAAUUCAACUCAGUCUGUUUUACCUGAAAACUACAACUGUACAUACAGGUGUCAAGAAUAUUUCUUCCCUUGCAAUAGGUGGAUCAACGAGCUGAAUUGUCCGCCAGGGUCUCAAUGCUGUUCUGAUUAUUAAAAAAAGCCAAUUUAAACAACUUUUAAUUAUUUCUUAGAAAUAAUGAACGUAGCCUUUUCUGUUAAAGCGUGUCUUGCACCUAAACUUUGUAGACCAGUCAAUCGUUGCUGUUUUCCUAGAGAUGGUGACUGUCCAGCUGGAAAGGUGUGCUGCCAAAUGUGGAGGCUAACCUGAUAGCUACUACUAUUUUGUGUUUUUUAUUAUCCUAAUCACUUCAAUGGUUUUCUUACUUCUGGAAUAUUCGAUUUUUGAUUGUUAUUGCUGUAUUUCAGUUCAGUUAAAUAUAUGCUUUUAUUUAUGGUUUAAAGAAAUGUUUUUCCUUUGCAUGGUACACGAAAAUAUGACUGUGUCGA